rnacentral:rRNA from 2 species
GGAUACUCCGGGAAACCGGGGCUAAUACCGGAUAAUAUUUUGAACCGCAUGGUUCAAUAGUGAAAGACGGUUUCGGCUGUCACUUAUAGAUGGACCCGCGCCGUAUUAGCUAGUUGGUAAGGUAACGGCUUACCAAGGCGACGAUACGUAGCCGACCUGAGAGGGUGAUCGGCCACACUGGAACUGAGACACGGUCCAGACUCCUACGGGAGGCAGCAGUAGGGAAUCUUCCGCAAUGGGCGAAAGCCUGACGGAGCAACGCCGCGUGGGUGAUGAAGGUCUUCGGAUCGUAAAACUCUGUUGUUAGGGAAGAACAAAUUUGUUAGUAACUGAACAAGUCUUGACGGUACCUAACCAGAAAGCCACGGCUAACUACGUGCCAGCAGCCGCGGGUAAUACGAA